rnacentral:rRNA from 1 species
AGUGGGGAAUAUUGGACAAUGGGCGCAAGCCUGAUCCAGCCAUGCCGCGUGUGUGAAGAAGGUCUUCGGAUUGUAAAGCACUUUAAGUUGGGAGGAAGGGCUGAUGCUUAAUACGUAUCAGUCUUGACGUUACCGACAGAAUAAGCACCGGCUAACUCUGUGCCAGCAGCCGCGGUAAUACAGAGGGUGCAAGCGUUAAUCGGAAUUACUGGGCGUAAAGCGCGCGUAGGUGGCUAAGUAAGAUGGGUGUGAAAUCCCCGGGCUCAACCUGGGAACUGCAUCCAUAACUGCUUAGCUAGAGUACGGUAGAGGGUAGUGGAAUUUCCUGUGUAGCGGUGAAAUGCGUAGAUAUAGGAAGGAACACCAGUGGCGAAGGCGACUACCUGGACUGAUACUGACACUGAGGUGCGAAAGCGUGGGGAGCAAACAGGAUUAGAUACCCUGGUAGUCCACGCCGUAAACGAUGUCAACUAGCCGUUGGGAACCUUGAGUUCUUAGUGGCGCAGCUAACGCACUAAGUUGACCGCCUGGGGAGUACGGUCGCAAGAUUA